rnacentral:sRNA from 1 species
GGCUGUUGGACCUACUGCCCCAGUGGCUGG